AACGAACGCUGGCGGCAGGCUUAACACAUGCAAGUCGAACGGAUCCUUCGGGAUUAGUGGCAGACGGGUGAGUAACGCGUGGGAACGUACCCUUUGCUACGGAAUAACUCAGGGAAACUUGAGCUAAUACCGUAUGUGCCCUACGGGGGAAAGAUUUAUCGGCAAAGGAUCGGCCCGCGUUGGAUUAGCUAGUUGGUGGGUAAUGGCCUACCAAGGCGACGAUCCAUAGCUGGUCUGAGAGGAUGAUCAGCCACACUGGGACUGAGACACGGCCCAGACUCCUACGGGAAGCAGCAGUGGGGAAUAUUGGACAAUGGGCGCAAGCCUGAUCCAGCCAUGCCGCGUGAGUGAUGAAGGUCUUAGGAUUGUAAAGCUCUUUCACCGGUGAAGAUAAUGACGGUAGCCGGAGAAGAAGCCCCGGCUAACUUCGUG
rnacentral:rRNA from 1 species